rnacentral:rRNA from 1 species
UACGUAGGGGGCUAGCGUUGUCCGGAUUUAUUGGGCGUAAAGAGCGUGUAGGCGGCCAGAUAGGUCUGCUGUGAAAACUCGAGGCUCAACCUCGAGAUGUCGGCGGAAACCAUUUGGCUAGAGUCCGGAAGAGGAAAGUGGAAUUCCUGGUGUAGCGGUGAAAUGCGUAGAUAUCUGGAGGAACACCGGUGGCGAAGGCGGCGUUCUGGACUGUCUCUGACACUGAAGAACGAAAGCCAGGGGAGCAAACGGG